UGUUUGUUUAACUAUGGCAACAGAAAGUCUUAGUCGCACACCUGCAUAAAGCUUUUUUAUUAUAUUUCUUGAACAUUAAUGUCUUGAUAUAAUUAGCAGGCAAUUUUUUAUUUGGAUUAGCGUCUUAUAAGGUGUGGUUAAAUAAAGGGGAUAGGACACAGUGCCAGCAUCCGCGGUUAGUCUGUUUUCUUUGCUUUCCUAUAGCGUUAAACGCAUUAUUUCUAAUAAAGGUUAGGUGAAAUUUUCUUUAACAAAUAUUUUAUAAUGCAAGAAGUAACAAAUAGUUAUUAAUGACAGGGAUUAGAUACCCCAUUAAUUAACUAGUUAAUAUAGCUUAGUUUUACAACUAAAAUAGUUUGGCAGCGAGUUACUCCUGUUAGGGGAAGGUGUGUCGUAAAGGAUGAUCCGCCUAUUAAUUUUCUUUGGUUAUGUUGGUGUAUAUCUGGUUGAAUAUUACUGUUUUAUAACUUAAAUUUGUGGAUUCAAAAAUUAAGCCAAGUCUAUGUGCUGCAUACUAAAGUUCUCAUGCGUUACUGUGAUAUCAGGUGUGUUGUAUUUCAUGUCUGUUUAGGACUUAAUAGUAAUGAUGAAUGAGUUUGUCAUCGUGAAGAAGGUUUAACUCGGGUACACACCGCCCGUCACCCUCGAUUAUUGUUGAGGUAAGUCGUAACAUGGUAGUCUCAAAUGAAUUUGAGACUAAUUAGCUUUUCAG
rnacentral:ncRNA from 1 species